GCAGUAGCAGUGGCACUGUUAACUGUUCCCGCCCCACGCUGUUUGUGGAGAGUGCUCCAUCAAUCAAGACUUCACUCUUGCUGGCAACAACAUCAGGCUUUGUCCAUUCUAGACCGAUAACAUGUCUCCCAGGCCCUGUCUAGUCUGCUGUAAAUCCCUGGAACGUGGCAACAAUGCUGCAGCCUGCCAGACAUCAGAGGGGAUGCUGUAACAUGCAGCGAGAGCUGGGCUGAAGGACGGCAUGCUGGAAGAGGGGGCUCCCGUAACUGUGUGGUAGCCGGAACCCGCCCACUUUGCAGUGAGGAGGCAGGCGACAUUGCUUGAUGGCUGAUAGCCUUCUCACGAUUCCCCCUGUGUGCCGAGAAGGACAGACAAGUUCUACCACAAUUCACUGGGAAAGAUUCACAGAGCAACUCAGCUUACUGCAUGUGACCCUGGGUGACCCUCAGUGCCAACUGGCGAAUGGCACACCAUACCAUAACUCUCAUCAAGUCUGAAACUGCCCCAACACACUGUUGUCAUAAAGUGUAUCUAAAAAGUGCCAUGUA